CCAACCCCAUAGAUAGGGGGACCCCAAAGCCAUUACCAACUUCUGGAGUGCUGAAACAAGCUGACCUGCCCCCCCAAACCCCUUCAGGAAACGGGGGACCACUCUGUAACCCUCCCCUAAAUAGCCAUGAGACCCCACCCCACAUCUCCAGACCGCCUCAACGCCCCGACUCCGCGUAUAUUUUUAUUGCCAAAGCUGCUUUUUUAACCAUUUCAUACAAAAAUAAUAAACCUCCGUCCUCAGAACUGCAUGGCUGCCAUCAGUGUGUCUGAGAGCUUGGUGGCGAUUUUUUCUGCUCUUUUUUGCAGCUUUUUCCUCCGUUUCCCAGCGGCCGCCAACCCCUGGCCCUGCAGCAGUGGGGGGAGUGCAGCCACCUCCUCCAGACGUGGGGCACGGGGUGGGGGGUCUUCCUCUUCCCCGCCUCCCCCCGCCUUCGUCCGUGCCUUCAGCUCCACCGUCACCGCACCGAGCUUCAGGUCGUCCCCUUCGUCCUCCUGCUCGUGGCUGUCCUCCAUGGUCUCCUCCUCCUCCUCCUCAGGGAUACAUGGGGACAUCUCAAUUCCUG
rnacentral:lncRNA from 1 species